AAGAGUUCUCAUAGUACAAAAGGGUUCGCUACCACCCCGCAGCCGAAGCCUCGUGGAGCUUUAGUGCUUUCGUUCAAUAAACAGUCACAACGCCCGGU